rnacentral:sRNA from 1 species
CAUUACAAUUGAUGGCACAUUAUUCUAGUCAAAUGCUUUAUUAGGAAGACGAGCUUAAAAAUUCGUUAAAAGGCAUAUCUAUGAAACCUUUGGUGUCUGCUUCUUACGCCCAGUUUGGGGUGGAUGCUGGAGAUGAAGGGAGUUGGGCGACUCGUAAUGGCAUACGAAUCUCGACCCAGUUUCUGUGGAGACCAGUUGUUGUAGCGAAGCUAUACGUACCAUGCUGAUGCAUAGUUACGAAACUGGAUAAAACCUGUAUUGUGGCGAAAGCUAUGUGCAGUGUAGCCUGUCUUGAGUGGGAAUCUUGGGAUAGAUGAUCUUACUUUAUAUAAGCGGCCACUUAUAUUAAGUAUUGCAUCUUGAAAUCAUUCUUGCAAAAAAGAACUAAUAAUAAAGAGUUGGUGAGGAAAUCUCCUAGGGUGUAAUUCAUAAUAGGAUUGUAGUGGGCACUAAGUGGUAAUCAAGUCGUAUGUUUGGUAACGGCAUAUUGAUUUCUUUAAAGGGGAACCACAUUUCUGGUAACGGAUUUGUAGAAAUCAGGGAAAUCCUACUUGACCUAAGGCUCAAAGUUAACUAUUAUGAUCGCCAUACAAUUACUAA